AGAGUUUGAUUCUGGCUCAGAACGAACGGUGGUGGCGUGGAUAAGACAUGCAAGUCGAGCGGGAUUUUACUGGUAGCAAUAUUAGUGAAGUUCAGCGGCGCAAGGGUGCGUAACACGUGGGCAAUCUGCCUAGGGGAGCGGGAUAGCUCGGCGAAAGUCGAAUUAAUACCGCAUAAGACUACUGAGAGCAUUCUCGGGAUGUCAAAGGUGGCGCAAGCUGCCGCUCCUGGAUGAGCCCGCGGCCUAUCAGCUAGUUGGCGGGGUAACAGCCCACCAAGGCGAUGACGGGUAGCUGGUCUGAGAGGACGACCAGCCACACUGGAACUGAGACACGGUCCAGACACCUACGGGUGGCAGCAGUCGAGAAUUUUUCUCAAUGGGGGCAACCCUGAAGGAGCGACGCCGCGUGGAGGAUGAAGGUCUUCGGAUUGUAAACUCCUGUCAUUUGGGAACAAAUACCUGAUUUAACUGAUUAGGAACUGAUAGUACCAGAAGAGGAAGAGACGGCUAACUCUGUGCCAGCAGCCGCGGUAAUACAGAGGUCUCAACCGUUGUUCGGAUUCAUUGGGCGUAAAGGGUGCGUAGGCGGUCGCGCAAGUCGGAUGUGAAAUCUUAGGGCUCAACCCUGAAACUGCAUUCGAUACUGCGUGGCUCGAGUACUGGAGAGGAGACUGGAAUUUACGGUGUAGCAGUGAAAUGCGUAGAUAUCGUAAGGAAGACCAGUGGCGAAGGCGAGUCUCUGGACAGUUACUGACGCUGAGGCACGAAGGCCAGGGGAGCAAACGGGAUUAGAUACCCCGGUAGUCCUGGCAGUAAACGGUGUACGUUUGGUGUAGGCGGAUUCGACCCCGCCUGUGCCGGAGCUAACGCGUUAAACGUACCGCCUGGGAAGUACGGUCGCAAGAUUAAAACUCAAAGAAAUUGACGGGGGCCCGCACAAGCGGUGGAGUAUGUGGCUUAAUUCGAUGCUACGCGAAGAACCUUACCAGGGUUUGACAUGUAUCUCUAAGUCGGUGAAAGCCGGCGAGUCGUAGCAAUACGACGAUUUACACAGGUGCUGCAUGGCUGUCGUCAGCUCGUGUCGUGAGAUGUUGGGUUAAGUCCCGCAACGAGCGCAACCCUUACGUCCUGUUGCCACUCCUUUAUUGGAAGCACUCUGGACGGACUGCCCUGUGAAACGGGGAGGAAGGUGAGGAUGACGUCAAGUC
rnacentral:rRNA from 1 species